UAGAAAUAAAAUAGGAUCUAUUAAAUCUAAACCCUCUGUCCCACGAGGGAAUGAGCCUAUCCUCAUCUACUCCUACUGUCGAAAGACUAACUAUUUAACCAAAGAUGAUCCUAAAGUUUUCUAUUUCUCCUUAAAUUAUCUAUAAACUUUACCAGCUGCGUCCAACGAAUUUUCAAUUGAUGGCAGUUUAUGAUCUGUCUCUCCUCGCAGCCGGUGCCUGAAAUUGACUCGGCAGCUCCAGCGAGAGGAGACAGCGCCCUCUUCGGUAGCUUUCCCUCUCUGAGAAAAAGCGCUCACUUGCCCCAGUCUUCUCUAGCUGAAAAGAUGUUUCUUGACUUCUCCAAAAAUAACUCUUAAGAAAAUUCUUCACAGAUUUAUCAGAGCCAACUCCCCGGUCACCUGCUCCAAGCGAGGAAGCUCCAGAGAGACCCCGGUUCUCUCAGCCGACUUUCCUAUCAGGAAAUUCUCUUUAAGUCACCCACAGAUCACUCUUUCCUUCUCUGCUUAAAGGAGCCCAGUCUGCCGCAUUGAGGAAGCAGCGAGGUACCAUGGAAAGAAUCCUGUGUUCUAGAGUCAGAAGAUUUGGAUUCAAAUUGUGUCUUCUCCUUAUUACCUAUGUGAAUUUGGAGUUCUGAGUUCGAGUUGGAGGUUGAUGAAGAAUCUGCUGACUGGACCUGAGACCUUAGACUUGGUGAGACUGUUCUUAAAUCUCUCCCUUUGGACUGACACAUGGUGAGUGAAAAGAGCUGACUCCUUUCCUGGAUUUUCUGAAGAGACUAGCCUCAGGAGAGGCCUAUCCUCUUGAGAGAGGCUCCCUGUAUCCCAAGGCCUCUCUGCCUAAGGACUAAACUCCCCUGCCUGUUUUUGAACCAGGGGUCGGAGCAAAAUACUUAGUGCUUAGGCUAGAUAUCUUACCCUAUCCUCUCUCUGAUUUUCUUACUUCACUCUUUCUAUAUUUUAUAAAUAAAUUGUUAAAAUAAACCUCUUUGGAAUUAAUUAAAUUCCUGGUGACCUUGUCCUUAAAUAAUCCAGUCCAACCUUUUAUGUUAACCCCUCUCUCUUCUAUCCCUUACAUGAGAAACAGGAUAAGUUCAGAAAAACCUGGAAAGACUUAUAUGAACUGAUACAAAACAAAGAGAGUAGAACCAGGAGAAUACAACAUACAGUAACCAAAUUAUUAUAUAAUGGUCAACUGAUAAGACUAAACCAUUAGCAGCAAAGCAAGUUUCUAAGAUAACCCCAAGGAACUCAUAAUGAAAACGCUAUCCACAGUCAAAGAAG